rnacentral:lncRNA from 1 species
CUCCAGUUUCUGUGCUUCUCCAUCCUGAGUGAUCUGAAAAUAGCUCCCAUCAGCUUCAAUUUUGAUCUUAGCUGCUGCUUUCCCAGGCUUUUUUUCCACUUUUACUGGUUUGAUACAUUCCUGCGAGGGCCCGAUGUAGUCGUCCAGGUCCGUCAGCUGCAGCACCCCGCUGAAGGGAGACGCCAUCACCGCCGCGCCGCCGUCAAGCGCGGCAGCCGGCGGGAGGGCAGGGGCUGCGACACUGUCGUAAAAGCGCGAUGCCACACUGCCGUCAAAUCCAUCCUGUUCUUCCGUUUCACCUUCAGGUACCCCCUGUGAGAAGCAGUGGAUCUGGCUGCUGAUGCAGAGCCAUGCUGCACCGUGUGGUCUCUGCUGCUUUCUUCAUCAACUCUUUUCUGGACCUGCAUUUCUUCCAGCAGCAUGACCAGGGCUCGGCAGCAACACAGGCUUAUCUGACCUUCCUUUUUGAGCUGCCUGCUUGCAAUGCUGACUUUUUGAAAGGCACAUGACACCGAAAGCGAUGGUAUUUGAAGCCUGAUUGAAGAGUCUUCCAUCUGUCUCAAGGAGACUUCAUUUGGAUUUCCUGGAGAAGAAGCUUCUUGCUUUGAACUGGGAAUCUAUGAGUUUGAUUAUUUAUAAAAUGAUGUCUUUCAGGUUUACAUAGAAAUGGAUAGCUUAAAUGGAAGCUGAUAAGGAUAAGAGUUGCUUUCACGUUUGGCAUCCUAUGGACUUCUAGAUCACACAAACAAUAAGUAUGAAUCAGUAAUAUUGUACAAGUUUCAAAAUAGCUGAUAAACAUAUUAAGUGUGCUAAGAAAACUGGGAGUGGGAAGGGAGCCGGGUUUGGGUAUGUGGUGGUGCUGUGAGUCAACACCAGCCUUUCUCUGCACUGCCACAAACACAUGAGUUGUAGGUGGGUGUGAUGGGACAAGCCUGAGCCUGGGACUUAAAUGGCCUACAGGGAACCUUCUCUUGAAAAAACAUCAAUAAAGUGACCAAAGACAGAUUUUCAAAUUUGAGUAUGCAGAAUUAUUUGGUUGCAC